AGCCAAUGGGGCGAAGCUACCAUCUGUGGGAUUAUGACUGAGCGCCUCUAAGUCAGAAUCACGAGCUCGGAGA